CAGUCGCCGCGGUAACACGUAGGUGGCAAGCGUUGUCCGGAAUUAUUGGGCGUAAAGGGCUCGCAGGCGGUUUCUUAAGUCUGAUGUGAAAGCCCCCGGCUCAACCGGGGAGGGUCACUGGAAACUGGGAAACUUGAGUGCAGAAGAGGAGAGUGGAAUUCCACGUGUAGCGGUGAAAUGCGUAGAGAUGUGGAGGAACACCAGUGGCGAAGGCGACUCUCUGGUCUGUAACUGACGCUGAGGAGCGAAAGCGUGGGGAGCGAACAGGAUUAGAUACCCGAGUAGUCCCUGUCUCUUAUAC
rnacentral:rRNA from 1 species